GAUGAACGCUGGCGGCGUGCUCAACACAUGCAAGUCGAACGAAGCAUUUAGAACAGAUUACUUCGGUUUGAAGUUCUUUAUGACUGAGUGGCGGACGGGUGAGUAACGCGUGGGUAACCUGCCUUGUACUGGGGGAUAGCAGCUGGAAACGGCUGGUAAUACCGCAUAAGCGCACAAUGUUGCAUGACAUGGUGUGAAAAACUCCGGUGGUAUAAGAUGGACCCGCGUCUGAUUAGCUAGUUGGUGAGAUAACAGCCCACCAAGGCGACGAUCAGUAGCCGACCUGAGAGGGUGACCGGCCACAUUGGGACUGAGACACGGCCCAGACUCCUACGGGAGGCAGCAGUGGGGAAUAUUGCACAAUGGAGGAAACUCUGAUGCAGCGACGCCGCGUGAGUGAAGAAGUAAUUCGUUAUGUAAAGCUCUAUCAGCAGGGAAGAUAGUGACGGUACCUGACUAAGAAGCUCCGGCUAAAUACGUG
rnacentral:rRNA from 1 species